UGCGUCGCAGAUAAAGCAACCUUUUAAGCCGGUUUGACUACAAGGUCGAUUUUAAUUGGCCCGCUCGUCCGUUUCCGAGUAGUCUGUUUGCGUUCGAUUCGAGAGGAUGGUAGCGGCGACAGCGUCGGAUAGAAAUCAAUCGUCGUCAGUUCCUCAACGUCUCACAUACAAUCGCAUCCGCAGCUCGGCGGCCUUCUAGCGGAAAAUGCGAGAUUCGAGUCAGCUGUUCGAAUCGCGGGACGUGUUGAAUCUAAAUUUCGUAUCGCUCACGCUUGGAUAACGUACGCUCAUCCGAUAAAAUUUCAAACCAAACGCUUGACGUUGUGAUUAACGAAUUCUGCAAGUGGGUACUGAUAAUGAUUCUGGAGCACGUGUUUAUAAAGCACGAACAUUAGUACGCCGCAAAGUGUCGCUAAUCGCGCUGUGAUUGUCGGUGCAAUAUGUGAAAAGAACUUCAUCACACAAAACUCGUUAUAUUCAUCAUUAACUCAUACCAAAAGUCUAUGAUUUUUCUGAAAGUUUUGAAACGUAGCAAGAUUACGCAUAAUUGCUUCGCAUAGUGAAUUCUCGAGUGAUUAGUUACGUUUGAAUGUUUGAGAAGGUAAUUAAUAAAUUAAGAACAAAAUAUUCAUAGCAACUACGAGAGAGUCUGUAAUUAAUUCAAACAAAUUGAAACUGCAAUCUGAUUGCAGAAUCAGUCAUUAGGGAGCGAAAUUUAGACACUUUCGACUGUUAUAUAUUGCAAUCAUACGCAAAUAUGAAGUUCUUGGCCAUAGCAAUCGCGAUAGCAUUAUUUUUCUUCUUAUCGAUGUCGAGCGCACGCACGUCCAACUUGAACGUAUCGGAAAAGGAAUUCGUGCCUUUCGAUAAGUACAAAAUACAAAAUCAGGAUACAAAAGCGGGAUCAAUCAUUAAUGUCCCUAUACAAUGUCCGCCGAACAAAACCAGAGUUGGAAAUCGCUGUAGAACUGUCUUUUAGAAUCUUUUUAUUGAGGGAUUAAACACCAGUACUAUUCAUGAAAGAAGAUAUUCCCGAAAAGAAAACAGAGAUGAGGAUCAUAUAUAUUUUGAAGAUUAAAAACAAUUAAUGGAAAAAUGAAGAUCUACAUUAGAAAUAUCUAAUUAAUUAACAACGCACAAAGUGCUACAAAUUGAAUCAUCAAUUAUAAAUUUUUCACGAAAUAAUCAAGAUGUGGAGAUGGUAUCAACUAAAUUAUUUUGCUACGUAUAUAUACUUAUUGUCAAUUAUUAAGAAUAGACUUUUUAUAUCAAGCGUGCAUGAUUAAAACCAAUGUAAAAAUUAUGGGGUAUUAAAAAAUUACAUUUAAUAUUAAAGAAUAAAUAAUUAAUAUUUUAUUAUCC